rnacentral:rRNA from 1 species
UACGAAGGGUGCAAGCGUUACUCGGAAUCACUGGGCGUAAAGGGCGCGUAGGCGGCUUUUCAAGUCGGGGGUGAAAGCCUGUGGCUCAACCACAGAAUUGCCUUCGAUACUGUUAGGCUUGAGACCGGAAGAGGUGAGUGGAACUGCGAGUGUAGAGGUGAAAUUCGUAGAUAUUCGCAAGAACACCAGUGGCGAAGGCGGCUCACUGGUCCGGUUCUGACGCUGAGGCGCGAAAGCGUGGGGAGCAAACAGG